CCCAGGGGCAACUCUGGGCAACCGGCGAACGGGUGCGUAACACGUGAGCAACCUGCCGAACUGUGGGGGAUAGCCGGGCUAACGCCCGGGUAAUACCGCAUACGCUGCCUGAGGGGGGUCCCAUGGGCAGGAAACCUUUCGGGGGCAGUUUGAGGGGCUCGCGGCCUAUCAGCUAGUUGGGGGGGUAACGGCCCACCAAGGCGACGACGGGUAGCUGGUCUGAGAGGAUGGCCAGCCACAUUGGGACUGAGAGACGGCCCAGACUCCUACGGGAGGCAGCAGUGGGGAAUCUUGCGCAAUGGCCGAGAGGCUGACGCAGCGACGCCGCGUGUGGGAGGACGCCUUUCGGGGUGUAAACCACUGUUGCCCGGGACGAACACACUCUUUCGAGAGUGCUGACGGUACCGGGUGAGGAAGCACCGGCUAACUCCGUGCCAGCAGCCGCGGUAAUACGGAGGGUGCGAGCGUUGUCCGGAAUCAUUGGGCGUAAAGGGCGCGUAGGUGGCCCUCUAAGCGUGCGGUGAAAGCCUGGGGCUCAACCCCGGGUCGGCCGUGCGAACUGGGGGGCUUGAGCACUGUAGAGGCAGGCGGAAUUCCGGGUGUAGCGGUGGAAUGCGUAGAGAUCCGGAAGAACACCGGUGGCGAAGGCGGCCUGCUGGGCAGUUUUGCUGACACUGAGGCGCGACAGCGUGGGGAGCAAACAGGAUUAGAUACCCUGGUAGUCCACGCCGUAAAC
rnacentral:rRNA from 1 species